rnacentral:lncRNA from 1 species
AAACAUUUAUAUUUUUCAAUACUAAUAUUAAUAUUUCUUGGUGUCCCAAUGUGAGAAAAAAAACUUACACAUAAUAAAAUGGGAACAUAUCAUCCCAUCUUGAUUCUUGAAAGAAAGAAAGAAAAGAAUUAUUAUUUUGAAGAUUCCCGUAUUACUUGCAUUUUAUUUUCCCUUAACCAACACUUGUAUUAAUCUCCUCAUUCUUGUUUUUUGGGCAGUUCUUCAAAAUCCCACAUACAAAUUUCGAGUAAUGACAAAAUGUAAAAUCGAGAUAUUUGCAUAUAUACUUACUAUACCACUCUAAUUCAAAGUAGAUAUUUUAUUUACUUAUAUUUUCAAUACUACAUUAUCGUUUCAAUGGAUAAAUAAGAAUUACACAUGACAAACUACUAACGGUGAAAUUCGAAAUUUGAAGAAUGAUUGAACAAUACAAUAUAAUACUUGGAUAUUCUCAUAGUUAAGUCGAAAAUGGAGAAUUUUUUUCACUAAACAUUUAUAUUUUUCAAUACUAAUAUUAAUAUUUCUUGGUGUCCCAAUGUGAGAAAAAAAACUUACACAUAAUAAAAUGGGAACAUAUCAUCCCAUCUUGAUUCUUGAAAGAAAGAAAGAAAAGAAAAAUACAAGGCAGAGUAUACAAUGUGCUUUCUUACAUACAUAGAGAUAAAAGAGGCUCGUGAAAUUAACAUGACGGAUCGAAAUUAAGGUACAAGACCAGCGUACGGAACAGGUACUAUGUACCUAGGAUUCAACGGGAUCUCCAUUGUGUUCUGUCUGAAAACUGUUCCAACAGCCUCGACGACGAAGGCUACGAACUCUAAGGCAAGCUUAAAUAGUUCUAUGCACAUUUCAAUCCUCGAAAUCACCAUUUCUCCUUUCUUCUUCUUGUUUCCUCUCUCUCUCUCUCUAAACUGAGUUACUUAUAGUGUCUCUCUCUCUAUGUAUAUGUGAGUAUAUAUAUGGUUCAGACAUGAAUUUGUGAAAACGUUGGUAAAGGCUAACACCGCCUUUGGGACUCUCAAUGGACCAGAAAGGCCAGCAUCG